rnacentral:rRNA from 1 species
CGGACGGGUGAGUAACGCGUGGGUAACCGUGCCUCACACAGGGGGAUAGCAGUUGGAAACGACUGGUAAUACCGCAUAAGCGCACAGCUUCGCAUGAAGCGGUGUGAAAAACUCCGGUGGUGUGAGAUGGACCCGCGUUGGAUUAGCUAGUUGGUGAGGUAACGGCCCACCAAGGCGACGAUCCAUAGCCGACCUGAGAGGGUGACCGGCCACAUUGGGACUGAGACACGGCCCAA